AGGCGCUGCCGAGGCCCCAACUACCGCCUGCAUGGUAUGGACCAAUCUGCACCCCCACCACCACCACCACCACGUCUUGGUCUAACCCGCCUAUGUGUCUCCCUACGGUGUGUCAAUAUGAUAAAGUCCUACCCUCCUUUGCUGCUUCCGUAUGGUCCAGCCUCCUGAGUUCUCGCUCGCUCUUACUCCCUCCUCCCUAUGUGUCCACGUGCUACAGUCCACCUCCCUACCAUAGACCAUUGCUGGUCCAUGAUUUGUCUUUCCUCUCCACUGCUUGUAACGUGCAACUUGGUAUAUAACCCGACACCCCUGGCUUCUUUGUGGUACGGUUACCUAUGGGUCUGUGGGUUCCUCUUCCAAAGCGGUGGAAUCCGGAUCCAUUUCCGGUUCCCACGUGGUGUAAACCCUAUGCUGUUCCAUAAUCUGACAGCCGCUCCCCCCGCCCUUUCCUGAGAAUCAAUAUGGUUCAAUCCCCUUCCCUUCCGACUUCCUCCGCUCCCUUCAGCCCUGAGAUCUAAACGGCCACCUCUCCGGCUUCUCAACAUGUGGAUGGUGCCCCCCACGGUCGCUGAGGCUCCCCACCGAGGAUUGCGCCUGCCCUUCCCAACCCUACCCAAGAAGGGAGGGGAGUCACCCCCAAAACAAAGCUAUUAAAGGGACAGAAUACUUCCUG